CCUACGGGAGGCAGCAGUGGGGGAUAUUGCACAAUGGGGGAAACUCUGAUGCAGCGACGCCGCGUGGGCGAAGACGUCUUUCUGUAUGUAAAGCCCUAUCAGCAGGGAAGAAGACUUGACGGUACCUGAGUUAUAAGCACCGGCUAAAUACGUGCCAGCAGCCGCGGUAAUACGUAUGGUGCAAGCGUUAUCCGGAUUGACUGGGUGUAAAGGGAGCGCAGGCGGCACGGCAAGCCUGAUGUGAAAGCCCGCGGCCCAACCGCGGGACUGCAUUGGGAACUACCGGGCUGGAGUGCCGGAGAGGUAGGCGGAAUUCCUAGUGUAGCGGUGAAAUGCGUAGAUAUUAGGAGGAACACCAGUGGCGAAGGCGGCCUACUGGACGGUGACUGACGCUGAGGCUCGAAAGCGUGGGGAGCAAACAGGAUUAGAUACCCCUGUAGUC
rnacentral:rRNA from 1 species